AAGUCGUAACAAGGUUUCCGUAGGUGAACCUGCGGAAGGAUCAUCAUUGAAUAAACUUGAGCAGGCUGUUGCUGGCCCUCUCCUGUGGGGGGGUAUUGUGCACGCUUGCCAUAUUUAUUUCUCCAACUGUGCACACAUUGUAGGCCUGGAGUUUUUGAAUUCCAUUCAGAUUGGGGACUGCUGUGCCUUUAGGCCAGCUUUGCCUUGCAGGUCUAUGUUUUUUUCUACAAACCCUAAACCUGUUUAGAAUGUUGGAUCAGGUCAUUUGUACCUAUAAAGUUAAAUAUACAACUUUCAGCAACGGAUCUCUUGGCUCUC
rnacentral:misc_RNA from 1 species